GACGAACGCUGGCGGCGUGCUUAACACAUGCAAGUCGAACGGAAAGGCCCUGCUUUUGUGGGGUGCUCGAGUGGCGAACGGGUGAGUAACACGUGAGUAACCUGCCCUUUACUUUGGUAUAACUUCAGGAAACUGGGGCUAAUACCGGAUAGGAGCUCCUGCUGCAUGGUGGGGGUUGGAAAGUUUCGGCGGUUGGGGAUGGACUCGCGGCUUAUCAGCUUGUUGGUGGGGUAGUGGCUUACCAAGGCUUUGACGGGUAGCCGGCCUGAGAGGGUGACCGGCCACAGUGGGACUGAGAUACGGCCCAGACUCCUACGGGAGGCAGCAGUGGGGAAUAUUGCACAAUGGGCGGAAGCCUGAUGCAGCAACGCCGCGUGCGGGAUGACGGCCUUCGGGUUGUAAACCGCUUUCGCCUGUGACGAAGCGUGAGUGACGGUAAUGGGUAAAGAAGCACCGGCUAACUACGUG
rnacentral:rRNA from 1 species